ACAUGCAAGGAAGGGAGGGAUUAUGACAUCAGACCAGGUGCCAAAAGAGGAAAAUUCUAGACCCAAGUCCUCUCAAAAAUGUCCUACCUUACUACCCACAAUAGGUUCCGGUUGAAGAAGGAAGCACUUUUUUAAGGAGGCAUCUUUUGGAAAUGCCCAAUGGAAAUCAAGUCAGGAGAAGGCCUGAAUAAACGACACACAGACCACCAGAUGUGGCUGAGAUGAAGUCAAUUCGCUGAACCAAUAAACGCACUUGGAAACUGACUCUUAACCACAACACA